GUGUCAGCAGCCGCGGUAAUACGGAGGGUGCAAGCGUUAUCCGGAUUUACUGGGUUUAAAGGGUGCGCAGGCGGAUAUGUAAGUCAGUGGUGAAAUCUCCGGGCUUAACCCGGAAACUGCCGUUGAUACUAUAUAUCUUGAAUGCUGUGGAGGUAAGCAGAAUAUGUCAUGUAGCGGUGAAAUGCUUAGAGAUGACAUAGAAUACCUAUUGCGAAGGCAGCUUACUACGCAGAUAUUGACGCUCAUGCACGAAAGCGUGGGGAUCAAACAGGAUUAGAAACCCUUGUAGUCC
rnacentral:rRNA from 1 species